UACGUAGGCAGCGAGCGUUGUUCGGAUUUACUGGGCGUAAAGCGCACGUAGGCGGAUCGAUCAGUCAGGGGUGAAAUCCCAGAGCUCAACUCUGGAACUGCCUUUGAUACUGUCGAUAUGGAGUAUGGAAGAGGUGAGUGGAAUUCCGAGUGUAGAGGUGAAAUUCGUAGAUAUUCGGAGGAACACCAGUGGCGAAGGCGGCUCACUGGUCCAUUACUGACGCUGAGGUGCGAAAGCGUGGGGAGCAAACAGG
rnacentral:rRNA from 1 species